UGAGAUGUUGGGGGGUAGGGGUU
rnacentral:piRNA from 1 species